ACCUGUGUGGCUCAGUUGGUUGAGCGACUGACUUCAGCUCAGGUCAUGACCUCACAGUUCUUGGGUCCAAGCCCCGCCUCAGGCU
rnacentral:tRNA from 1 species